rfam:Burkholderia telluris isolate LMG 22936 genome assembly, contig: contig000107
GGCAUAUUUCGCACAGGCGGAGCUCGACCGCCGACCGAAGUGAUGAUUGCCUUCAUUGACGAUCACCGGUCGGCGUAUGGGGUCGAGCCGAUCUGCAGGGUGCUGCCGAUCGCCCCG